rnacentral:RNase_P_RNA from 1 species
ACACCCGGGUAACCGCUGGGCAACCAGAGGAAAGUCCAUGCUCGCACCGCCUGUGAUGGCGGUAGUGUUUGUGCUAAAUGAAACGAUAAAUUUAGGCAGAGCAAUCUGACGGCCGAUCAAAUCCUAAAGCGAAAGCCAUGGAUGGCGUCUGUAAAAGUGCCACAGUGACGUAGUCUUUGGGGAAACCCAAAGAGUGGAACGAGGUAAACCCCGCAAGCGAGAAACCCAAAAUUGGUAGGGGAAUUCACAAAGACGAAACG